rnacentral:rRNA from 1 species
UACGUAGGGGGCGAGCGUUGUCCGGAGUUACUGGGCGUAAAGCGCACGCAGGCGGUCUGCUAAGUUUGGAGUGACAGUUGGUGGCUUAACUGCCAAAGUGCUUCGAAAACUGACAGACUUGAGGGCUUCAGAGGGACACGGAAUUCCGGGUGGAGUGGUGAAAUGCGUAGAUAUUCGCAAGAACACCAGUGGCGAAGGCGGCUCACUGGCCCGAUACUGACGCUGAGGCACGAAAGCGUGGGGAGCAAACAGG